CAUGAGAGUUUCUUCUUUGUUUCCUCACCUUUGCACGCCAUGGAUCUGUAGAUUAUGAGUUUAAGGUUUCACCAAGUUUCAAAAUAAUGAGUUUCUUCAAGAUGGUCUCUUCUUUGCGAGUUUUCAUAAAUGAGAGAUAGAUCGGAAGAAGCAACAGAGACCGAGAUCUCAUGCCGGACCAGUUGAAGAUCAACGGUUUUGUGAGAUCUUCAGACAUGAGUACUACCCAGCGAAGUGUUUCGCAUUCUCUUGCCGCUGCAAUUCCUGAAUCACCAGCCUUUUGACUUUAGCUCCCAAGUAUGUGUAUUUGGGUUUUCACUAUUAUUCAAAGGAUUUUGAUUUGUGUGAUAGGAAUUUCUUAUCUGUUGUAAUUGACUAAGAUCGAUUUAGCAAGGGCCAAGGAGGAAGAAAGAAUAGGGUUAUUGGAAACUUAAAGAGGCCUGAUCAACUCCGAGAUCAACUGUUUGUAGAUCCUCUACAUCAAGGAAGCUGGGCAUCAGAUUAUCCAAGAGAAUAUGAUGGUGGUUGCCUUCGGAUGAGGUUAUCACACAACCCAUGUGCUCACUUCUUUCUCUUUUUUGUUUAAUGGAGUGAUUGUAAUCUUGCUGGUGCCCUUGGCUUACUCAG
rnacentral:lncRNA from 1 species